GGACUACACGGGUUUCUAAUCCUGUUUGCUCCCCACGCUUUCGCGCCUCAGCGUCAGUUAUAGGCCAGAAAGUCGCCUUCGCCACUGGUGUUCCUCCACAUCUCUACGCAUUUCACCGCUACACGUGGAAUUCCACUUUCCUCUCCUACACUCAAGUCAACCAGUUUUGGAUGCGAACCGGGGUUGAGCCCCGGGCUUAAACACCCAACUUAAUUGACCGCCUGCGCGCGCUUUACGCCCAAUAAUUCCGGACAACGCUUGCCCCCUACGUAUUACCGCGGCUGCUGGCAC
rnacentral:rRNA from 1 species